rnacentral:rRNA from 1 species
AGCAGCCGCGGUAAUUCCAGCUCCAAUAGCGUAUAUUAAAGUUGUUGCAGUUAAAAAGCUCGUAGUUGAAUUUCGGAAUAAGCAGGUUGGUCAUGCCUCUGGUAUGUACUGGUCUCACUGAUUCCUCCUUCCUGAUGAACCGUAAUGCCAUUAAUUUGGUGUUGCGGGGAAUCAGGACUGUUACUUUGAAAAAAU